AGUGUAGAGAAUGGUGAGUAUGCUGUUCUCUAUCAGGUAAUUCACCCUUCUCUCACUAU
rfam:Monodelphis domestica chromosome X, whole genome shotgun sequence.